rnacentral:lncRNA from 1 species
GUUUGCUCGGCUGGCUCAUUUUACUUAGCUGCUGAAGAAGGAGAGUCGCAUUCAGCCAGGGAUCACUGAGCAUUCAAAAGUCCAUCUGAGACCUGCUUUCAUUGCACUGCCUCGUGAGGAGCUGUAGGAGAAGAUAUCAUAACUAUUCCCCACUUCUAAUUGUUAGAAGCAACAGCUGUCUAUCAAGAACAAUCUGAGGAUUGUGCACAAAUUGAUUUGGUUCUAUCAAGUGCUGGCUUUCGAUUCCAGUCUGACUUCACUACCACAGGAGCUUCUUGCUCAGGCUUCUGUUCCGGCUCCAUUCUCUCCCUGCCAUUAUAAUGCCAUCCACUGCAGCACCAUCUCUUCAAUCAGAAAACAUUCAUGAUCUCAUUCCACCUGAAGCCAGUGCCUCUGUAAUGUGUAGCAGAAUCCUAUGGAGAAGUUGUAAAAACACAAAAUGUUGGCCCCACCCCAAGAGUUUCUGAUUUUGCAGGUCUGGAGAGGGCCUGUGAUACGUACUUCUAACAAGCUCCCAGGCGAUGCUAAUGUUGCUGGUCUAGAAACACACUUUGAGAGCCACUGUUUUACAAUGUAUUCACCCAGCUUAUGCAAUCAACUACUAUCACAGCAAAGUCCAAAGAAUGCUCCUUAUUUGUUUGUUAUACUGGAGUUUGGCUUGGCUAAAUAUUAUUUGAAACUGAAUGGCUGUUGA